rnacentral:lncRNA from 1 species
ACAGAAUUAGGUUAUAAGGACACAUGUUUGGGACACUUUUGUGUAAGUAUCCUAUUUAUGCCAAAACUUUAAAAAAAAUCUACUAAUGCCUAAAUAUAAAGCCUAAUCCAACCAAAAAUAAAAGGUUGCUCUACUCAACCCAUCCCACUCAGCCCAUUCGGCCGGAUUACAAAGAGAAAAGAAAAAAAAAGAAAAAUCGAUUAUCAUCUCCCAUUCUCCCCUCACUCAAUCCACUGAAAUACCAGACGAAGAGCCCAUCCCUCUCGUCCUCCUCUGCCACCACAGCCAACGAGAUAGAGUUUCAGCGGUUGCUAAAUACUUAAAUAAAUAUUGGUAAAUUAGCAGCACUCUUUUAGAUUAUAGUGACACUCUUUAACUGUCACUAUAUGCCUAGCGACCCCACAUAUAGCAACACUUUUUAAAAGUGUCAGUAAUUUAGCAAGCAGCACUUUUUUUGACCUAUACCGACAUUUAAAAGUGUCGCUAUAGACCAUUUUUGUUGUAGUGCACUCCUAUAAGUAACUUUUCAUAGCCAAAACCCCUAUCUCACCCUUAUUAAUCCAUCUCAUUCUCUCUCUAUUUUCCCUUUCUAAAAGAGAAAAAACUAUAGUUUUUUCUCU